GAUGAAGAACGCAGCGAAAUGCGAUAAGUAAUGUGAAUUGCAGAAUUCAGUGAAUCAUCGAAUCUUUGAACGCAUCUUGCGCUCCUUGGUAUUCCGAGGAGCAUGCCUGUUUGAGUGUCAUUAAAUUCUCAACUACACUGAUUUUUUUUGGUUGGUGUAGAUUGGAUUUGGGGGUAUUUUUUGCGGGCUUUGUAAAAUGAAGUCGGCUCCCCUGAAAUUGAUUAGCGGUACCUUUGUGGAACUGUCUACAGGUGUGAUAAUUAUCUACAUCUUAGACAUCUGCUGGAAUGCUGCUUUCUAAACCUUACUUGUAUUGACAAUCUUGACCUCAAAUCAGGUAGGACUACCCGCUGAACUUAAGCAUAUCAAUAAGCGGAGGA
rnacentral:misc_RNA from 1 species